GACAGAGGGUGCAAACGUUGUUCGGAUUUACUGGGCGUAAAGGGCGCGUAGGCGGCGUGACAAGUCACUUGUGAAAUCUCCGGGCUUAACCCGGAGCGGCCAAGUGAUACUGUCGUGCUAGAGUGCGGAAGGGGCUACUGGAAUUCUCGGUGUAGCGGUGAAAUGCGUAGAUAUCGAGAGGAACACCUGCGGCGAAGGCGGGUAGCUGGGCCGACACUGACGCUGAGGCGCGAAAGCCAGGGGAGCGAACGGG
rnacentral:rRNA from 1 species